rnacentral:lncRNA from 13 species
GAGGGGUGAGGUUUUGGGUGCGAGAGGUGAAGUAUAGGAGACGAGGGGUGAGGUAUUGGGUACGAGAGGUGAGGUAUUGGAGACGAGGGGUGAGGUUUUGGGUGCGAGAGGUGAAGUAUAGGAGACGAGGGGUGAGGUAUUGGGUACGAGAGGUGAGGUAUUGGAGACGAGGGGUGAGGUAUUGGAGACGAGGGGUGAGGUAUUGGGUACGAGGGGUGAAGUAUUGGAGACGAGGGGUGAGGUAUUGGAGACGAGGGGUGAGGUAUUGGGUACGAGGGGUGAGGUAUUGGGGACAAGGGGUUAAUAAAACAGUGGAAUACAAUAAGACAGUUAGCAGCCUAUUGUGUGUCACACCCUCAAUCCCCCUGAGAGGACACACACAGCCCUUUGGGAGAGGACAGAGGUUGAUCAGUAUACAGCCCUGACAUUGUCCACAUCUGAUACGGGACAUUAACCUCGAACUCCUCUAACUCCCUCCACACACGGCUGCCCUUCACUUUGUAUUACUUUAUGUUAAUAGAGAAAUAUUACAUACAACAUCAUUUGUCUUUGUUACCACGCCACCCAGGACCUCAUUUAAAUGCAUGUGUUUACCUCGGCAGACAGGUGAAGACAGGGGGAAGGGAGAGUGUGUGUAUGUGUGUGUAUCUGCCAGAUUUAUUGAUCUUAACCAGCCAUCCUCCCAAUACUCACCCUUGUCCGUGAGAGUUGUUGUGUGUAUAUGUUAUAUGAGCUUUGUCCAGGGUAGGGCAGGGCAGGGAAGGGUCAGAAUAACAGAGGAUCAGCCAUAACUGACCCCCAUUUGGAAAAGGUCACACAGCACAGGUUGUAGAGGUACAGUGUAGAGUGGUAGAGGAUCUUCUGUAAGUCUUGAGGUCUGGUUCCCCCUCAGCCCUGACAAAGACAGCGCCUUGAGGUCUCCAUCAUCAGAGACGAGUCUGAGACAGACACACCGUCCAUCCCUCCUCUGUUAUCUCUCUGAGACGAGACUCACACACAACCUUUGACCUUGAGUUCCUCCAGAUACUCUCUCCCACACACACAGUCUCAGCCAGGUCACCUCAAGUUCAAGGGUCACGGCGUUGAGACUCGGCGUGUCGUCUGUCUAGGACUGAGGAUGUCUGUCAUUUCUAUUCAAGGAAAUCAAUAGCUUAAUCAAUAUAUCAAUGACCCUGAGCAAGAGGGUCUCUCUCUCUCUCUCUGUCUCAUAUUGUCACAGGAAACCCCAAUGAUUGCAGGUUUUAACAUAUAAAUUACCUCUCAGAAUUAUACAGUCACAGAGUCAAGGUGAAAUUCUAAGUUGAACUUCUUAAAAGUAAAGACAGCCCUAAAAUGUUUUGACCUAACACACACACAAAGCCACACACCAAUUGAUCGUGCCAUUGAUUAGGAGUGACUACAUGGUCAUGCAUGUAUACUGCAUUAUACCGACAGACUGGACGGUGUCAUACCUCAUAGUUUACACUGUUAAAACACGUCUACUGCCGCUGAAUACUAAUGCUACUGCAGUGUGUGUGUGUGUGUGUGUGUGUGUGUGUGUGUGUGUGUGUGUGUGUGUGUGUGUGUGUGUGUAGUGCAGCUCUUAUAUUGACCAAUCCUCUUAGUGGUGGUUACAAAGGCAGGAAUUGAUACUUGGUCCUGACACACUACUUAAUCACUGGGAUAUUUUAACACAUGGAGAAAAAUGACACAGUAUGAGUAAGUAAGGUGACAUCAUGAUCCUUUCAUCAUCGUGAAGCAGUGUGUGUGUGAGAAAGGUAGUCUGGAAGGAGAGGGAUAGAGAGGGUGUGAGGGAGGGGAGGAAGAGUGGGGAAGGAGAGAGAAAGAGAGGGAUUGAGAGGGUGAGGGGCAGGGUGAGGGAGGNNNNNNNNNNAGUGGGGUAGGAGAGAGAAAGAGAGGGAUUGAGAGAGGGUGUGAGGGACAGGGUGAGGGAGGGGAGGAAGAGUGGGGAAGGAGAGAGAAAGAGAGGGAUUGAGAGACGGUGUGAGGUGCAGAGUGAGGGAGGGGAGGAAGAGUGGGGAAGGAGAGAGAAAGAGAGGGAUUGAGAGAGGGUGUGAGGGACAGGGUGAGGGAGGGGAGGAAGAGUGGGGAAGGAGAGAGAAAGAGAAGGGGUAAAAUGAGCUUUUCAGUGUCAGUCAGUGAGCGACUCCUGAGAAGAGAGUGAGUGAAAGAGGCUGCCUUUGAGGUCAUAUCUGUUUGUCUGACUCCACUCCAGCCCAACCCCCGCACGCACGCACGCACGCACACACACACACACACACACACACACACACACACACACACACACACACACACACACACACACACACANNNNNNNNNNGUGGGGUAGGAGAGAGAAAGAGAGGGAUUGAGAGAGGGUGUGAGGGACAGGGUGAGGGAGGGGAGGAAGAGUGGGGAAGGAGAGAGAAAGAGAGGGAUUGAGAGACGGUGUGAGGUGCAGAGUGAGGGAGGGGAGGAAGAGUGGGGAAGGAGAGAGAAAGAGAGGGAUUGAGAGAGGGUGUGAGGGACAGGGUGAGGGAGGGGAGGAAGAGUGGGGAAGGAGAGAGAAAGAGAAGGGGUAAAAUGAGCUUUUCAGUGUCAGUCAGUGAGCGACUCCUGAGAAGAGAGUGAGUGAAAGAGGCUGCCUUUGAGGUCAUAUCUGUUUGUCUGACUCCACUCCAGCCCAACCCCCGCACGCACGCACGCACGCACACACACACACACACACACACACACACACACACACACACACACACACACACACACACACACACACACACAGCUCUGCUGUACAGGUGUAAACACUCACCUGCACACAUCACUUCCUCUGACAGGUGCACACAUCUGACCAUCCUCUCUAAGAGACCAGUAUCAGACAGGGAGGAGACGUCUAUAUUCUCACAUGCACGCACACACAUGCACCAUAGUUGUUGUUCGUAGGUCAAUCAACAUUUACCACCACACAGAUACACUUCUACACACAGCUCAUAUCAG